GCUCGUUUGUGUUCAGAGUGCUGCUUCCUUCUUUUCCAAACCACCAAACCACAUUUAGAGCUUGUAAGGAAACAACCUUAUCAUUAAGUUCAGGAGGAACAGCACAGCUCAAAGCAGAUCAAGAUCUUAUCACAAACAAAUAAGAGACCUGCAGGAUGGAAACACUGGACUUGCCAACGCUGAAACUCUCGUCUAUGAAGGAGUGGAAGGAGGAAACAUCACAGUUGAAUGUAAAUUUGUGAUCCUUGGAAGAAAGACAUUGUUCUGCAAAGACAAAUGUGAAAAAGGAAACGUUCUCAUUGAAACAGCUGGUUACACAGCUCAGAGCGGCAGAUACAGCAUUAAAUAUGAAAAAAAUUAUUUCUCAAAGGAUAUUGUGUAUGUGAGCAUCACACAGCUGAACAAGUCUGAUGCAGGAUUGUACAGCUGCAAACUGGACACAAGUUUACAACCAUGUGAUUUUCAGCUUGUCAUCACAGGAGCUUCAAACAUUUCAACACCAAAUCAGCCUUUUUCAGUAUCAACAUUUCUCCUGUCGGCCUCCACAACAACAACAACACAGCAUUUGAACUUCAGUUCAAGAAGCUUCACACCAUCAUCAGCCUCCUCUGAAGUCUCCAGACAGUCUCAAACCGCUGCAGGUUCAGGUAAGCUGCUUCAUGUGAUUCUGAUUCUGGUCGCUAUGAUCACCAUCUUAUCAGCAGCUUUGCUGAUUUUCUACAAGCACAGGAAGAAUAAACCAAAAGGACCUCCUGUGAAAACUGAACAUGCUGACAUCACACAGGCCAACGGGCUUUAUGGAAACAUCACAGAGGAUGAAACUCAGAACAGUGUAACUCCUGUACGGGUGUUUUCAGUUUAUGACUACCCCGAAGGCUCGCAACCAGAUGGAGUUGAAAAACAACAGCUCUACAGCCUCGUCACCGGUCCUCAGAACACGGCUACAGAUGACAUGAAUGAUGCUGAUUACACUGAAGUGGAUUUUUCCCACAUUCCUUCCUCCAACAGCGCCCCCUGUGGUAAUAUAUGUGAUACUGUCUACUGUAUACCUGAGGUUUAUGCCAAUCACACCAACGUUGGUUCACCUCCUCUGUACUCUACUGUAGAAAUACAUUAGUUCUAAUGCUGUGGAUGGCACCUCAGUAGUCAGCAGGUGAACAUAAUUAGCCUUGGAUAAAUGCUAUUUUUUUAUGAUAGUUACUCAUAGUUUAGCUUUAAAAAUAACUAUUUUGCUUUUUUUUCAAACUGUAGUAUUUCAUAAUUAUGUUAUUGUCAUAAUUCAUAGACAAUUACAUAAAAUCAUAAUGAAAUAAACUGCAGCAUCCCAUAACUGUCUAACUGUCUGUUGGAUGGUUAGGCAUUGCAUUUAGCCUUUUAGUUUUCAGCAGCCUGUUUGGAGCAGCUGUGCAGAGUGAUAGAUUGACCAGCAAGCAGGCUGUUCAUGGAGGGAAGCUGCUAAAUUUAGUUAGCAACCAACCAGGUGGCGAAUUUCACAUGUAAUUUUAACUGGUUAGAUUUUAACCUAACCAAGUAGUCCUAUUUUUCUGAAAGCAAACAAAACUAAAACUGACAACUGAAAUAAUAUGAAAGAUUUCAGCACUUUGGCCGACACUUGAUGUCUUUUAAAUGUGCUAUACAAAUAAAGCUGACUUGACUUGACUUGAAAACAAAUUAUUAAGCUUUGGAAAGCUUGAAAAGUUCUAAAGAUGCUUACUAAUAGCAUUAAUCUCACUGCAAAGUGAAUUUCUUUACCAGCAUAGCUAACUAGUGCUAGCUAGCAUUAGCCAGUAGGCUACCAUUCCAGCCACCUUUUUGUUCAAAUAUGGCCACUUGUGUUUACCAAAAAUAGAAUAAUGCAUUAUUAAAGACCUCAAAAAGCUGGUCCAAGUUUCACAGUGGUUAUGUCCAUCUUUGAGUCCAUAACAGAGCGACAGCAGCUACAUUAAUGGAAAAUAUAACCUGUGGAAAUGAACCAGUAAAUUAUAAAUGUUUUGGUUCAACUUUUUAUUUAAAAAAUACUCUCUGUGAAGUUUUCUCUCUGUUACUCGAUAAUCCAGAAAUGUUUGCCAACAGUCUAUGUUGAGAGGGAUUUUCUAACAACUUUACUGAAUGCAGUGUGAUAUGAAACUAAGUCCAGCUCAUUUCCUCCAAUCUCUUCAGUCAAAGAUCAUUUUAUUGCAGGUUCACACAAAAAAUUGACGGAUGAAUUUAAAUGUCAUGUUAUGUGGUGUUUUUCCACAUGUAUCCCGUGUAUGGACACAUGCCAGUGAUGGAUGUCUCUUAUAAUAGCAGCAGUAGUUCUGAGAAGAUCUCUUUGUAUCCUCCUGACCUUUAAGACCUUUAAUACAAAAUGAAAUGAGAGCUGGUUGGAAUGAAUUUCUACAAACUGUUUAAUAGAUAUUGAUCACAAAUAUAAGGUUCCAACAGUGUAACCAUAAAGCUUCUUAUUUAUGUCAUUUUACACUGAAAAUCAUGAAUGUACUGAAUUUACUAUAUUAAUUUAACAAAUGUUAAUUUGUUCACUUAAAAACUAUGUUAUUAUUAUAUGCAUUUAAGCUAUUGCAUUUACAUAUAUAUGUAUAUAUUUUUAUAUCUGUUAUUUAUGUUUCACUGUGCUCAGCAUUACAGUAUUUUUUAGGAUGCAGUAAACUGUAAAACAAUAAUACUGUUUAAAUAACUGAACUGUAAUAAAUCAACUUUGUCUUGUGAUCUGAGGUCGACAGAGAUUGAAGUCCCCCCUUUACCGCCUCUGAUGAUCAGGAAACUGUUUCCUGAUCAUAAAGCAUUUCUAUUCUUAAUCAAAGAUAAAUCAAAAUGUAAGUUUGAUCAAUACAUAAAUGAGAAAUGCAGUUUGAGUUGUAGAAAUUAGUGUUAUAAUAUCUGAGAACUGUGUCACCAACUCUUAAAAAAAGCAUUAAGUAUUGUCAUUGUUAAACACAGAAGCAUGAUUUAUAUGUGGUUUUACUGAUAUGUGGUUUUACUGAUAGUAACACAGUCAGAUAGAGAGAGGGGAUAAGGUGUGGGUGGACCUCGGAUAAUUAAAUGUCAGCACCUUGAUUGGAUGGCUAAAAUGUGAAGAUGUGACGUCCAGUGAAGGAAGGGGGAGAAAGGGUGAGCAGGUAUAAAAGUGGGAUGAAGAAGAGAUUCUGAGUUCUUCCCUUUUGUCUUCUGUGAGAUGAGCAGUUCAGAUGAUUGGAUCUAAGAGGUUCACAGUUCAAAUUCCAGCAGCGAUGCUCGAGGGGGAACUGCAGUCCUGUAAAUGUGCAAAAUUGGUUUUAUAUUUUUUGGCUUUUCAUCUGCUCAUUUUUGCCUAUUUAGUUAAUUCAGAACAAUUUAAAUUUACAUUAUACUUCCACUGAAUGCCGAGCGGCUUUGUGAUUAUUAUCAACUCAGAACAUGAGGAUAAGUGCAUCUUCAGAUCCAGGUGUGCUCAUCCUUUCUCCAUCCUCUCUUCACCAAAGAUAAGAGCACAAUCAGCAUUAGCUCAGGUGUAUUAAGUGAGUAGUAAGAUAGUAAAAAUCAUCAAUUAAACUAUUAGAUUUCUUUUUUGUUCUUGCUAAAUUUCUUGAAUAAACUUUCC
ensembl:lncRNA